UCCAGUUUAACACUGGCAGUCUCUCCAAGGUUCCCAACUUAAUGGUGGCAAUAGGAGACGAGGGUUGCGCUCGUUACGGGACUUAACCCAACAUCUCACGACACGAGCUGACGACAGCCAUGCAGCACCUGUCUUUCGGUUCCCCUUGCGGGGCACCAGCGUAUCUCUACACCGUUCCGAAGAUGUCAAGCCCAGGAUAAGGUUCUUCGCGUUGCAUCGAAUUGAACCACAUGCUCCACCGCUUGUGCGGGUCCCCGUCAAUUCCUUUGAGUUUUAAUCUUGCGACCGUACUUCCCAGGCGGAAUACUUAACGCGUUAGCUUCGACACAGAGAGGGUUUACUCUCCCUACAUCAAGUAUUCAUCGUUUACGGCGUGGACUAC
rnacentral:misc_RNA from 1 species